rnacentral:lncRNA from 1 species
AGUGGGGGAUGGAGCUGGUUCCUCUGGUACGUCGACAGUCUACUUGCGAGGUCCUGCCAGGAUCCCUGACGCUCCGGCACGGGAGCAACGCCCAGUGAUUCGCCCCGUUGGGCUAGCGUAAGUAACUUGAGAUGUUUUUACUACUACUUCAGUUCAAAUGUGGAGGGAAACUAAAUUUUUUACUUAAUUGUGCAGGAACUGGGAGGUUGUGUCUGGUGUUGCUGGCGUACGAAGCGUCAACGGCAUCCUUGGCUUGCUGUGCAAAAAGCACUACCCUGGCCUUGUCUUGUACAGGGAUUCGCGUGAGCCUGCCUUCACGUUUG